CCUACGGGAGGCAGCAGUGGGGAAUAUUGGACAAUGGGCGAAAGCCUGAUCCAGCCAUGCCGCGUGUGUGAAGAAGGUCUUCGGAUUGUAAAGCACUUUAAGUUGGGAGGAAGGGCAUUAACCUAAUACGUUAGUGUUUUGACGUUACCGACAGAAUAAGCACCGGCUAACUUCGUGCCAGCAGCCGCGGUAAUACGAAGGGUGCAAGCGUUAAUCGGAAUUACUGGGCGUAAAGCGCGCGUAGGUGGUUUGUUAAGUUGAAUGUGAAAGCCCCGGGCUCAACCUGGGAACUGCAUCCAAAACUGGCAAGCUAGAGUAUGGCAGAGGGUGGUGGAAUUUCCUGUGUAGCGGUGAAAUGCGUAGAUAUAGGAAGGAACACCAGUGGCGAAGGCGACCACCUGGGCUAAUACUGACACUGAGGUGCGAAAGCGUGGGGAGCAAACAGGAUUAGAUACCCCGGUAGUC
rnacentral:rRNA from 2 species